rnacentral:snoRNA from 1 species
AUUCCAAAUUUAAUUACAUAUAUGCAAAAAUAAUAUGGAUAUCACGCUUUGUGAUGUACAUAUUAAAAAUUCAAUGCAUGUGUGUCCAGACGUUUGGAAUAAUAAAAUUUAUAAAGCAAUUAAUGUAAUUACUCAAAGUGUUAUAUUUUGAGUAGUUAACUAAACAUUAAUGUUUUAUAAAAUCGCUUAUUACCUUGGCAUGCAUUUAUUGUUCAUUUUUUUCGUUUUUACGAUUUAAAUGAAUAAGACGGCAAAAAACGUUUAAAUUUUUUUGAACGGCCAUGAUAAUUAAAUGCAUUGAGUCAUAAAAGCGAAACAAUA